rnacentral:lncRNA from 1 species
GAAUAUGACAAAGGAAAAUGGAAACUCCCAGUAACCACUUCAAAAAUGAGCUAGAAUUUUCUGAGCUCUCAGUUGGGUUGAAAGCAUCUGUCCGGGUACCAACCAGAGCCACCGGCCCACUUGUGCAGGGGCGGAGGUGCGAGGCUGAGGCUGCAGUGGCCCCUAGCGGGGGAGGCUUUGUCAUCGCGGAGCCUCUGUCGCAGGGGCUGUGCACAGCUUCU